CAGCAGCCGCGGUAAUACGAAGGUGGCUAGCGUUGUUCGGAAUUACUGGGCGUAAAGCGCGUGUAGGCGGGUCCUUAAGUCAGGGGUGAAAUGCCAAGGCUCAACCUUGGAACUGCCUUUGAUACUGGGGAUCUUGAGUCCGGGAGAGGUGAGUGGAACUGCGAGUGUAGAGGUGAAAUUCGUAGAUAUUCGCAAGAACACCAGUGGCGAAGGCGGCUCACUGGCCCGGAACUGACGCCGAGGCGCGAAAGCGUGGGGAGCAAACAGGAUUAGAUACCCCCGUAGUCCCUGUCUCUUAUAC
rnacentral:rRNA from 1 species